rnacentral:rRNA from 1 species
AGAGAGAGACAUGCGCGCAUAUCAAUAAGCGGAGGAAAAGAAACUAACAAGGAUUCCCUUAGUAACGGCGAGUGAAGCGGGAAGAGCUCAAAUUUGAAAUCUUCAAGGUUUUACCUUGACGAAUUGUAGUUUAAAGAAGUGUUUUCUGCUGAAGUUUUGGUAAAAGUUCUUUGGAAUAGGACAUCAUAGAGGGUGAGAAUCCCGUAUUUGACCAUUAUUUCAGCUUUGUGAUACACUUUCAAAGAGUCGGAUUGUUUGGGAAUGCAGUCCAAAAUGGGUGGUAAAUUUCAUCUAAAGCUAAAUAUUGGCGAGAGACCGAUAGCGAACAAGUACCGUGAGGGAAAGAUGAAAAGAACUUUGAAAAGAGAGUUAAACAGUACGUGAAAUUGUCAAAAGGGAAGCGUUUGACACCAGUGUUGUUUUCUCGAAAAUCAAUUAAAAAUGGCUCGAUUUUGUAUUGCUUGAGACCUUAAAAGCUCACUGUACAUUUUUCGUGUCUUUUUUAAUGCACCUUUCGUUUAACAAGUCAACAUCAGUUUCUUUUGUUGUAAAAGGGUCAUUGGAAGGUGGCUUUCUUUUCGGAGAAAGUGUUUAUAGCCUUUGGCCUCUGCAAUCGAAGAGACUGAGGUCUGCAGCGUAGACUCUUCGGGGUUAGAUACAUUUGUGCUAAGUUAUAGCUUUUUAUAGACAACUUGUUGACUAUAAUUAGUCUUGUAGCUUACUCGUUUAUGCUAUUUUACCUACGCUUAGGAUGUUGAAGAUGUAGCACAUCAU